rnacentral:rRNA from 1 species
AAUGAACGUUGGCGGCAUGGAUUAGGCAUGCAAGUCGAGCGAGAAGUGUAGCAAUACACGGAAAGCGGCGGAAGGGAGAGUAAUACGUGGGAAUCUGCCCUUAGACCUGGGAUAGCAGCGGGAAACUGCUGGUAAUACCAGAUAAUGUCUAUGGACCAAAGGUGUGAUUCCGUCUAGGGAUGAGCCCACGUCCUAUUAGCUAGUUGGUAGGGUAAUGGCCUACCAAGGCGAUGAUGGGUAGCGGGUGUGAGAGCAUGACCCGCCUCACUGGGACUGAGACACUGCCCAGACACCUACGGGUGGCUGCAGUCGAGAAUCUUCGGCAAUGGGCGCAAGUCUGACCGAGCGAUGCCGCGUGCGGGAUGAAGGCCUUCGGGUUGUAAACCGCUGUCGAGGGGGAGCAACUUCCAUAGAGUUAUCUUUAUGGAUUGAGUGAUCCCUGGAGGAAGGACGGGCCAAGUUCGUGCCAGCCGCCGCAGUAAUAC